AGCGAACGUUAGCGGCGCGCCCAACACAUGCAAGUCGCACGAGAAAGGGAGCAAUCCCCGGUACAGUGGCGCACGGGUGAGUAACACGUAGAUGACCUUCCCUGGAGUGGUGGAUAACCUGCCGAAAGGCGGGCUAAUACAGCAUGGGACCACAUGGUUUUGACCGAGUGGUGAAAGCGGGCCUCUGUUCACAAGCUCGCGCUCUGGGAUGGGUCUGCGUCCCAUCAGCUAGUUGGUGAGGUAAUGGCUCACCAAGGCAUCGACGGGUAGCUGGUCUGAGAGGAUGACCAGCCACACUGGAACUGAGACACGGUCCAGACUCCUACGGGAGGCAGCAGUGGGGAAUCUUGCGCAAUGGGCGAAAGCCUGACGCAGCGACGCCGCGUGGGUGAUGAAGGCCUC
rnacentral:rRNA from 1 species